rnacentral:rRNA from 1 species
CGCGUAGGCGGGCCUUCAAGUCGGGUGUGAAAACUGCCAGCUUAACUGGCAGCCUGCACUCGAUACUGUUGGUCUUGAGUACGGGAGAGGAGAGUGGAAUUCCAGGUGUAGCGGUGAAAUGCGUAGAUAUCUGGAAGAACACCAGUAGCGAAGGCGGCUCUCUGGACCGAUACUGACGCUAAAGCGCGAAGGCUUGGGUAGCAAACA